GACGUAGGGGGCCAGCGUUGCUCGGAAUAACUGGGCGUAAAGGGUCCGUAGGCGGUGCAGCAAGUCGGGAGUGAAAUCUCUGGGCUUAACUCAGAGACUGCUUCCGAAACUGCUGUGCUCGAGUGCGAGAGAGGCGAGUGGAAUUGCAGGUGUAGCGGUGAAAUGCGUAGAUAUCUGCAGGAACACCAGAGGCGAAAGCGGCUCGCUGGAUCGCAACUGACGCUGAGGGACGAAAGCUAGGGGAGCAAACAGG
rnacentral:rRNA from 1 species